CAAAUGUUAUUCCUCUCACUUCCUUCGAGCAACAACAUUUGGGGGGCCUCUGUUGAUACCAAAAUUUUAUAUAUAUCAUGUGCCAGAACCUUAUAAUUUCUAGUCGAAAUAUGGUGCUGGUUUUGGUGUCGAAAUUAUAUGUUGAUGGAGCAUUGUUCAUGGUAUUGGUUAUCAAUUCAACUAUUUUUUAAUGUGUCCAAGUUGUCUAAUUGAUUGGUGAAGUUCUCGACUAAAGACAAGGAAAAAGAUGGCAACUGUCAAAGAAAGUGGAACGUGGCAAUUAUGGAGGUGGAAGUGGUGCAAGGAGUUACCUGAAGUAUAGCUACGGGAAGUUGACACAAGUUGUUGCAAGUUAUUUUAUUUGUAAUUAUGCCAAGUAUGUGGCUAUAAUGUAGGGAGUUAUUUUCUAAGAUUUAAUCUCCACCGUAGGAUUAAAAUGGUAGUUCCAUUUUAAGCUCUAUAAAUACUAGUUUGUAACUAGGACAAAGGGUUGGAUUCCUAAAUGACUGCAAAGCUCUAAAAAAGCCUUCAAGCCCACGGUUAUGGCAAACGGCUUCAACGAGUGUGCAGUAGACGGAUUCCUUCCACCAUUUACCAUUCCAGUAAUGAAUUUGCUUUGUUCUUAUUUGUUUUCUCUUUGAUUACCUUUUGAUUCCUUGCAAUCUUUUUUAUCUUCUUUUAAAUUUCUACUUGUUUCUACAUCUAUUGCAAUACUCACCGGAGUGUUGUUUCUUUCAAGUUGUCACCGG
rnacentral:lncRNA from 1 species